CUGGGAUCCUGCAAGGCGGGGGCUGCUGAGGGAGGGACGCCUCUGGGAAUAUCCGUGCAAAGCCGGCUGAAAUUGCCAGAGCCCUGUGAAACAGAAGAGUCCUUGGGUUGGUCUCCCAUGGCAGAUCAAGGUCACCUUUGGAGGAGCUCUGCCCCUGCUGCUUGACAUGGUGUCUUUCCCCCGGGGCUCUCGGGGGAACCUGCCUGCACCAAGCGCCGUGUCACCGGGGAGGAUGCCGUGGCUCAGAGGCACUUGCGACCUGAAACAUUUCAAGCAUAUGUGACACAGGUGCAAGAGGAACAAGCACAGAAAAUUUGCACCGUCCCUGGCACCUUCUCUGCCGAGUGGAAUACACGCACAUCGACCUGAUUUUACCAGGCCACAGAGUAAGUUGGGCAUUUAAAAAUAUCUGCCUUCUUAAAAAGACAAAUGAAUAUAUAUUGUGUGGAGCCUUCAGCAAAGAUUGUUGAAACAAAACAAACAAAACAAUUGUGGUAAUCUUUUAGGUAAGACUUAUAAUGUAGAACAACUUGUCAGUGCAGGUUAAAGUUUUAAGGCCUAGCAAUUUUGACAGUGUCCCUUUAAGCACAGCGAAAGCACAGGGACUAGUAGGACAGGAAAAGGUCACUUGGUCACACGUAUCUGCUGCCUCUUUUAAGUUUAUCUCAAGACCCACGAGGCUUGUCCCAAUUAAUUAUUUAAAUACGUGGGGAAAAUAUUUCUGUAGAUAAAAAAGUACAAUCUUAAGUUCUGGGGAAGCUACAGGAUGGCCAGUGUUGUCAAAAAUAGCACUAAAAAGCAGCUGAGACAUGAUAUCCAAUCUAUAAGCUUAAGAUGCUAAGAGAAGUGAUUUCUCUGUAGCAACAUAUAUGUGUUUCUUUGAAACACAUGUACAGUAUCAGUGAAAUGGGAACUUCCAGAUUUUCACAUAUCCCUUUGUUUUCUGCUAAACAGUUCUGUAUUGCAAAAGGUCACCAAACCCAAAUUGACAAGGUACAUGUGGUUAUUUAAAAUAACUUUAUUUCCAUAGACAACUAUUGAUUAUGUGGUUAGCCAUCCACAUAAGUUUCUUACAAAUAUAUGGACACUGCAACUCUUUGUCCCAGAUAUUAUUCAAAUACCUGUAAAUGAAGGCGAUCAGAGAAGCAAUGAUUGUGAAAUGGAUGUUUAGAAGAGGACAAGAGAUUCACAUCUUUUCUUUCCUUAGUAAUGCAUUGGAAUGGCAGGCUAAGGCUUUCCAGGUGAUUGUACAUGUCUUCAAAUGGGCUUUCUAUGAUUUUUCUCUGACUCAGUGGAGAAAAUGUGUGGAUAAAAAGCAAAUGCACAUAUUCACUUGAUAUGAUUUUGGUCUAUCCCUGUUUCAGAGAAAAAAAUAAUAUAGCACAAAUUCCAGAAAGCCUUUUCCAUUCCAUCUUUGGAAUAUAAUCUCUCCCUCUGCCACAUAUAAAGAGAAAGGAAAUUUAAAAGAAUUGUUAUAAUUUUGCUUCCUGCCACAACAAAAAUCUUUAAACAACAAAAAAUAAAUACACUUAAAUAGUCAAAACAAUCUUGCUUUCCAUAACAUACUAUCUUUCUUUUCUCUACCAAGCAAAUUAAUGUUCUCUAUUAGAUCUUAGACCUAGCUCAGCUGUAAGCCCCAGAAAAAUACUCAUACUCUACCUGCAUUCUUGCACAUUGCUGCUUUGCAGCAAUGCCUAUGCUACCGUCCCAGGGAGAGGCCAGUUAAUUAUUGUGUUUGUUCUGCAACAAAUAAUGUGACCUGUUACCUUAUUCUUUUAAAACUGCAAUUUUUGCAUUUGGUUCUGUGACUCAGACCUGAUCUGUUAUCUUUAUGCAACAGCAAACGAUAACACAUAAUUAUGAUGAUGACACAUUACUUUUGUUUUAAUAGAAAAAUGAACCUCUUUCUCUUUUCAGUCACGCACACAUGCGCACGCGCACACACACCCACACCCACCCACCACCAUAGUGGAUUUUCAACCUGUUGCGGUUCAAAUGGGGAAAUAUUUGUGCAAACCUCCUACUUAAACACUAGCCACACAGCCCUGGUUCCGUUGGUAAGCUGAGUGUCUGCUAUGAAGCAACACAGUUGGAUUUCUGAAUGACACUUGAUACCAGCAGCCAGAGAUGGGACAUUUUUAAAUGUUUGCUAGCCAUGACUAAGUACUUUUGUUUUCCAAAGGUGGGACCUACAAUGGCUCCUGCUUGAAAAAUCUCAAUAGAGAGAUUCUGCUUCUGUUUCUGUCACUUCAUUUCAACUUUUCUGCGAUUAUUAUUACCCCUCAUUCCUCACAAAGACAUUUUCCUGAAGAUAGAGUAGAAGAAAACAUAUUUGUGAAUGUAUGAACAGAUUUUCUUCUUAUGAUACAUAACUUUGGCAUGCAGUCAGGAAAUGAUGAUAAUCUUUUUCUCUAUCUUCUCUUGCUAAUGAAGAGAAACUGCCUCUGGGGUUAAGGACAAAAGGUGAACUCUCCCUGAACACAAUUUACACCUGCUGAGCACAUGAUUUCGGGCAUCUAAAAUUCUUGUCUUGGCAGGUGUCCCAGGGACCAAACCACAUGCACAGAUUAAGGAGGUAAUAUUUUCAUCUAGACAUUAAAUAAAAAAUAGACUCAAGAGGGAUGAAUUUUGUGAUACUUCAAGGCAUCUCAUUUUUUGUUUAACCUUGUAAAAAUCUUGCAAUAUUCAAACUUAGGAAGACCCAUUUUACCAAGCUGUAACUAAGACAAAACACAGCUGUUGUUGAGCUUAAUUAAGGGAGUCAAGAAUUGUCCACCCCUCAUCGGUUGGUACCUGGGUCUUGAUUGUUUGGAGAACCUCUUCUGGAAAAGGAGUGUGAAAUAAAGGUAAUCUUUGUAGCAAGUUUCACUCAUUCUUGGGUUCCCCUUUUGUGGGAAGAGUAGUACAGCUCUCAUUUUAUACCCCCUUCAAGAUGUGGUUGGUUUGGAAGACUUUGUGAAACAGAGACGGUUGGGAAUGCAGAAUGUGCUCACUUGGAAACUGCCUAUGUAGAUAUAUUUUACCUUGAUGCGCUCUCUUAUUUUGAACCAACCCAAAGUUAUCACAAAUUGAUAUGGAUAAUGCAGCCAUGUGUAGGUAGAUCACAAUCUUGUGGAGGGAGAGGGUAGAGUUUUGCCCAGUUCCAACAAGCAUAUGAUCAUGUUUUCAAUAUCGGUUAAGAGAUGAAUGAAGCUGCAAAAUUUAGUGCCAUGUUACUGUGUAUAUGGUAGCCAUUUGCAUCUAAAAUUUUCAUUCGUUGGAUCACAGUGAAGCUAUGAAAAUUAUUUACCCAAAUUGCAUUUAAAUCCUCUUUCCUAGCCCCAUUCCUUUCUCACCCUCUUCCUCCAGAAAGAAGAAAACCAAUGCACCCACAGGCCUCCGGGGCUUUGUCUGGAGGUGCCUCCGUUGCCGUUCCUGCUGCUCCGUUGAGGUAUUCCUGUGGAUCCCAAUCGAAGCGUACAUAUUUGAGCUGCUGCUCCAGAUCAUGUUUUGAGACAUUACUCUGUCUCCUAAUCUGUCUAGGAUAAAAACUGCUUCCAGCAUGGGUGGCCUGAAUAUCACUUAGUUUGCAAAACUUCUGAAAUCCAACCCUUGGAGUUGUUUACUGACUUUAAAUGCCACCUAGAGAGCUGAUAGCCAUACAUUAUUAUUGCAGCUUCUAAUUUAGCUCAUCUAGUUAUAUCUGACCCUCUGUGUACAUGUAAGAGGGAAGGAUUGGGUUCCUAUGGCCUCCUCAGAUGAGACCUGUUGCUGACAUUUAGCUGGCUGACAGGAGCUGGAGCGUGCCUCAAGGACACCGCGUGGGAGGGAGAUGUGCCCCAUCGCUCGUUGCAGCAGCAGGUUGUUUUUCUGUUCCUGAUAGCAAACACGUCUCAUGCUGCCUGCAAAGCAUGUUGACUAAGCACUGAGCAAGGAAGAACAGCAAUAAAGGCAGUUUCUGGGAGUCAGCCAAGUAGCGUGGUUAGAGACACAUGCUGAUCCCUGCAUGUCUGGAAAGCAGGGAACCACGGCAGUACAAUGCAUACGGGACGCAGGGCUCCUGCAUUUGUGACACCGACUACAUUAGGCAACUGUUAGAGGCAGCAUAUAGACAAAGCUGGACUCAUGGAGGUGUGUUUAUGGAUAUAAACAGUCACUGGAUCAGCUAGUGUUUUGGUCUAGCAUGGAAAAGGAGAUCCCAAACACUUGCAGGACCAUGACUGGAGUGCACAAAAAGUGUAAGGUUGCAGGAAAAAGCGCAGCCAAAAGUUCAGCAAUGAGUUUUGGAGAGGGAGGAAGAUCCUGAUGUACUAUUAAUUAGCGUCUGGCUUUCUCACUGCAAAAGAAGCAAGAGUUAGGAAUGUCCAUAAGACUCCCCAAAAGCAUGGCCGUUUGGCAGCUCCCACAGAUGAGCCGUCAGCUGUGGCCCUAGGAAGCUGGUGCAGCUGGGUAUUGAGAUGAGAAACAAAGGACUGUGAGAGACCUUAGUUCUUAACAAGAGCUCUUCCAAAUCUUGUUGCUUGGUAUCACAGAAUAGAAGGUAGUAAACAGAAUGAGGAUAUACAAAAUUUCUCAAGGUAUCACUCAGUCAGCCUGUGUGUCUUGCAACUCACGUAUCAACCUUGAAGGGCAAGUGUCUAGUCUCAUUCUUGGAAGUUCAAGACUGGAGAUCUGCUAUUUUAGAGAGCAAAUGAGCUGGAACACUUUCAAUUUAGAAAGCCCUCAACAGGAAAAAAAACAAGCCUGUAUACCCUGUGCUGCAAAAUGAAAGCGAGAUCCACUCUGACCGAGCACUUGGUACUGCAGAGGAUUUCCUCUCCCCACUGCUGCAAGCGCAGGCCAGCUUGUAGCAUCCUGUGGUAGACUCCAUCACCUGUGCCCCAAAGGGGUGGUUGUGCAGCAUGGCUCAGGGUGGAAAGUUUGGCGGCUUCUACUCUACAAAGACUUGGAUUAACUGCUAAAUUCUGCUUCUGCCAAGUCUGGUAAAAAUCAGUAGUUCAGCAGGGUUUCACAAGAAAUUUCAGUUGAAGCAAGAGAGCUGGCAGAUGCAUCAAGUCACGGAGAGACAGACACAGAUUGCAUUUCUUAACCAGCUUCUUGCCAUACUAUAGCCACUGGAGAGGAAACAAAGUGAAAAAUGUGACUCUGGCUCUAUAUAUCCAUUGUGCACUACCUGUUUUUUCCACAGAUGGACUGUGAGAGAUUUACUGUUUUUCUGGUCAAGAACUCUUGGAUUUCCUCUGUGAAUCAUCCACAUUAUGAACACUAUGACUCUAUUACAAAUCAAGAGACGUUGGAAAGGUCCUCUCUCUGGCCACAAAUAGCGAGAAUCUCUGGACUGCAAUUUCAUCUAGUAGACAAGUAGGGGAGGAUCAGUGGCAGAUAAAUGGACGUUAUAUUAAUGUGAUAGAUCUGUUUUCCAUUAAAUGGCUUUG